AUUGGCAAUCUCCAACUCGCUCACGGCUCUCUGACUCGAGUUUUUGGCCCGGGUUUCGGCUUCUUGGAGGCGUCGACGAAGGAACUCUAGUUCCCUUCGAGUCUUGUCCAGGGUAGGAACCUCCUUUAGAGCCGUCGACUCUGCGGUUUCCGGAGGGAGCAUCUCAGCCGAGAUCGCGGCUCUCGCGAUAUUCGGCUCACAUGUCACAACCUUCUCUGUGUCUACCUCGACUGUCAAAGUUGUGGGCUCUUUCUGCCGUUGCAGAAGAGAAAUACCCCCUUUUUCAGUCCUGGAAAGGAUUCAAAGACACGAGUCUUAACUAAAAGCAAGGAGUCCGAUUCAUAUCAGUGCAAAGGAAUGAGGAUGUUUCUUUAGUAAUAUUGCUCGCAUUUGAGCAAGAAAGAUACAAGAAAAAAAGAAAAAAUACAAAGAGGAUAGGCGAAAGCCUAAAGAAGUCCAAGCCUCAAGCUGGGCCCACCUCCUGGCUCGGUGCAGGAGUCGAUGAUGGAGGAGCCGCUCCUCCCUCAGAUGCCAUGCUCCCCAGUUGAGCCGACAGCUGGCCCACCAGUUCUUCCCCAAGCUGGAAGUAAGGCGUCAAAGGCACCUCCUCCCUGCUGGGUAACAAGGGAACACCCGAAGCCACCUUCCGCAGCAAGUCUUCAUCGACGCCGUGUGCUAGCGCUAACACGAACGUCGACUCCGCACCGGAGUUGGUCUGAACCCAGAUAAACCCGUCCAGAGGAUCCGGGUCAGCGCUGAAAAGCUCUACGAGUUUCCCUAGUGACUCAGGCACCGGCUCGUCGCGAAACAUCUUCCCGAACAAACCGGUGAGCACCCGGGAGGCUCCCUAGACUCCAGUCGCCGC
rnacentral:lncRNA from 1 species